ACAGAAGUAGAUAAGAAUUGCUGGUUUUCUACUCCCUUGACUAACAGCAUGGCUUUUUCA
rnacentral:tRNA from 1 species